rnacentral:rRNA from 1 species
UACAGAGGGUGCGAGCGUUAAUCGGAAUUACUGGGCGUAAAGCGCACGUAGUCGGCUUUGCAAGUCGGUUGUGAAAUCCCCGGGCUCAACCUGGGAACUGCAUCCGAGACUGCAUUGCUAGAGUAUGGGAGAGGAAAGCGGAAUUUCUGGUGUAGCAGUGAAAUGCGUAGAUAUCAGAAGGAACAUCAGUGGCGAAGGCGGCUUUCUGGACCAAUACUGACGAUCAGGUGCGAAAGCGUGGUGAGCAAACAGG